CGGCAUGCCUAACACAUGCAAGUCGAACGGAAACGAUGGGAGCUUGCUCCCAGGCGUCGAGUGGCGGACGGGUGAGUAAUACUUGGGAAUCUGCCCAGUAGUGGGGGACAACAUUCGGAAACGGAUGCUAAUACCGCAUACGCACUACGGUGGAAAGUGGGGGAUCUUCGGACCUCACGCUAUUGGAUGAGCCCAAGUCGGAUUAGCUUGUUGGUGAGGUAAUGGCUCACCAAGGCGACGAUCCGUAGCUGGUCUGAGAGGACGAUCAGCCACGCUGGGACUGAGACACGGCCCAGACUCCUACGGGAGGCAGCAGUGGGGAAUAUUGGACAAUGGGCGCAAGCCUGAUCCAGCAAUGCCGCGUGUGUGAAGAAGGCCUGCGGGUUGUAAAGCACUUUCAGUAGAGAAGAAAAGCCUAGGGUUAAUACCCCUGAGUCUUGACGUAACCUACAGAAGAAGCACCGGCUAACUCCGUGCCAGCAGCCGCGGUAAUACGGAGGGUGCGAGCGUUAAUCGGAAUUACUGGGCGUAAAGCGCGCGUAGGCGGCUUUGUAAGUCGGAUGUGAAAUCCCUGGGCUUAACCUGGGAACUGCAUUCGAUACUGCAUAACUAGAGUAUGGUAGAGGA
rnacentral:rRNA from 1 species